AGAGUCUGAUCCUGGCUCAGAAUGAACGCUGGCGGCGUGCCUAACACAUGCAAGUCGAACGAGAAACUCCGGGCUUGCUCGGAGAAGUAAAGUGGCGCACGGGUGAGUAACGCGUGGGUAAUCUGCCCCUGAAUCUGGGAUAACAUCGCGAAAGCGUUGCUAAUACCGGAUAUUGUCAUAGGAGUAUUGCUCCAAUGAUGAAAGGUGACCUCUUCAUGAAAGUUGCCGUUUAGGGAGGAGCCCGCGUACCAUUAGCUUGUUGGCGGGGUAAUGGCCCACCAAGGCUACGAUGGUUAGCUGGUCUGAGAGGAUGAUCAGCCACACUGGAACUGAAACACGGUCCAGACUCCUACGGGAGGCAGCAGUGAGGAAUUUUGCGCAAUGGGGGAAACCCUGACGCAGCAACGCCGCGUGAGUGAAGAAGGCUUUCGGGUCGUAAAGCUCUGUCAAGUGGGAAAAAAGCUUGCCGAUGAAUAGUCGGUAGGUCUGAUGGUACCGCUAGAGGAAGCACCGGCUAACUCCGUGCCAGCAGCCGCGGUAAUACGGAGGGUGCGAGCGUUGCUCGGAAUUAUUGGGCGUAAAGAGCGUGUAGGCGGGUUGGCAAGUCAGAUGUGAAAGCCCUGGGCUCAACCCAGGAAGUGCAUUUGAAAACUGCCUUUCUAGAGUAUGGGAGAGGAGAGUGGAAUUCCCAGUGUAGAGGUGAAAUUCGUAGAUAUUGGGAGGAACACCCGUGGCGAAGGCGACUCCCUGGACCAAUACUGACGCUGAGACGCGAAAGCGUGGGGAGCAAACAGGAUUAGAUACCCUGGUAGUCCACGCCGUAAACGAUGAGAACUAGGUGUAGCGGGUAUUGACCCCUGCUGUGCCGGAGCUAACGCAUUAAGUUCUCCGCCUGGGGAGUACGGCCGCAAGGCUAAAACUCAAAGGAAUUGACGGGGGCCCGCACAAGCGGUGGAGCAUGUGGUUUAAUUCGACGCAACGCGAAGAACCUUACCUGGGUUUGACAUCCUCUGACAGUCUCGGAAACGGGAUCUUUCCUGCUUGCAGGAACAGAGUGACAGGUGCUGCAUGGCUGUCGUCAGCUCGUGUCGUGAGAUGUUGGGUUAAGUCCCGCAACGAGCGCAACCCUUGUCUUUAGUUGCCAGUAUUAAGUUAGGCACUCUAAAAAUACUGCCUCGGAUAACGGGGAGGAAGGUGGGGAUGACGA
rnacentral:rRNA from 1 species